UGGGGAAUAUUGGACAAUGGGCGCAAGCCUGAUCCAGCCAUGCCGCGUGAGUGAUGAAGGCCUUAGGGUUGUAAAGCUCUUUCGCCGACGAAGAUAAUGACGGUAGUCGGAGAAGAAGCCCCGGCUAACUUCGUGCCAGCAGCCGCGGUAAUACGAAGGGGGCUAGCGUUGUUCGGAAUCACUGGGCGUAAAGCGCACGUAGGCGGAUUGUUAAGUCAGGGGUGAAAAGCCUGGAGCUCAACUCCAGAACUGCCCUUGAUACUGGCAAUCUCGAGUCCGGAAGAGGUAAGUGGAACUGCGAGUGUAGAGGUGAAAUUCAGUAGAUAUUCGCAAGAAACACCAGUGGCGAAGGCGGCUUACUGGUCCGGUACUGACGCUGAGGUGCGAAAAGCGUGGGGAGCAAAACAGGAUUAGAUACCCUGGUAGUCCACGCCGUAAACGAUGG
rnacentral:rRNA from 1 species